rnacentral:rRNA from 1 species
GACGAACGCUGGCGGCGUGCUUAACACAUGCAAGUCGAACGAAGAGCGAUGGAAGCUUGCUUCUAUCAAUCUUAGUGGCGAACGGGUGAGUAACGCGUAAUCAACCUGCCCUUCAGAGGGGGACAACAGUUGGAAACGACUGCUAAUACCGCAUACGAUCUAAUCUCGGCAUCGAGGAUAGAUGAAAGGUGGCCUCUACAUGUAAGCUAUCACUGAAGGAGGGGAUUGCGUCUGAUUAGCUAGUUGGAGGGGUAACGGCCCACCAAGGCGAUGAUCAGUAGCCGGUCUGAGAGGAUGAACGGCCACAUUGGGACUGAGACACGGCCCAGACUCCUACGGGAGGCAGCAGUGGGGAAUCUUCCGCAAUGGACGAAAGUCUGACGGAGCAACGCCGCGGGAGUGAGGACGGCCUUCGGGUUGUAAAGCUCUGUUAAUCGGGACGAAAGGCCUUCUUGCGAAUAGUGAGAAGGAUUGACGGUACCGGAAGAGAAAGCCACGGCUAACUACGUG